rnacentral:pre_miRNA from 1 species
AUAAGAAUCACCUGGGAUCUUGUUAAAAUGCAGAUUCUGCUUCAGUGAGUCUGAGAUGAGACUUAAGUUUCUGCACCUCUAACAAGCUCCCAUGUGAUGUUAAU